ACCUUCAUUGUCUGUGGGUGGAUUGGGAUGUUCAUUGAACGUGUAGUGAGAACAUCUUUGCUAACACCUUACCAAAACAACCCACAUCCCCUACACUAACUAGUUUGUGCUAUGGAACCAUUUUUGGACCA